CCCUUUCCGGUUGAUCCUGGCAGAGGUCACUGCUAUCGGUGUUCGUCUAAGCCAUGCGAGUCAUAUGUUCUUCGUGAACAUGGCGUACUGCUCAGUAACACGUGGAUAACCUGCCCUUGGGUCCGGCAUAACCCCGGGAAACUGGGGAUAAUACCGGAUAACGCAUAUAUGCUGGAAUUCUUUAUGCGUGAAACGGAUUCGUCUGCCCAAGGAUGGGUCUGCGGCCUAUCAGGUAGUAGUGGGUGUAAUGUACCUACUAGCCGACGACGGGUACGGGUUGUGAGAGCAAGAGCCCGGAGAUGGAUUCUGAGACAUGAAUCCAGGCCCUACGGGGCGCAGCAGGCGCGAAAACUUUACAAUGCGGGAAACCGUGAUAAGGGGACACCGAGUGCCAGCAUCAUAUGUUGGCUGUCCAGGUGUGUAAAAUACACCUGUUAGCAAGGGCCGGGCAAGACCGGUGCCAGCCGCCGCGGUAACACCGGCGGCCCGAGUGGUGAUCGUGAUUAUUGGGUCUAAAGGGUCCGUAGCCGGUUUGGUCAGUCCUCCGGGAAAUCUGACGGCUUAACCGUUAGGCUAUCGGGGGAUACUGCCAGACUUGGAACCGGGAGAGGUAAGAGGUACUACAGGGGUAGGAGUGAAAUCUUGUAAUCCCUGUGGGACCACCUGUGGCGAAGGCGUCUUACCAGAACGGGUUCGACGGUGAGGGACGAAAGCUGGGGGCACGAACCGGAUUAGAUACCCGGGUAGUCCCAGCCGUAAACGAUGCUCGCUAGGUGUCAGGCAUGGCGCGACCGUGUCUGGUGCCGCAGGGAAGCCGUGAAGCGAGCCACCUGGGAAGUACGGCCGCAAGGCUGAAACUUAAAGGAAUUGGCGGGGGAGCACAACAACGGGUGGAGCCUGCGGUUUAAUUGGACUCAACGCCGGACAACUCACCGGGGGCGACAGCAAUAUGUAGGUCAGGCUGAAGACCUUGCCUGAAUCGCUGAGAGGAGGUGCAUGGCCGUCGCCAGUUCGUACUGUGAAGCAUCCUGUUAAGUCAGGCAACGAGCGAGACCCAAAG
rnacentral:rRNA from 1 species